UGGGGAAUUUUGGACAAUGGGGGAAACCCUGAUCCAGCAAUGCCGCGUGCAGGAUGAAGGCCUUCGGGUUGUAAACUGCUUUUGUACGGAACGAAAAAGCUCUGGUUAAUACCUGGGGCCCAUGACGGUACCGUAAGAAUAAGCACCGGCUAACUACGUGCCAGCAGCCGCGGUAAUACGUAGGGUGCGAGCGUUAAUCGGAAUUACUGGGCGUAAAGCGUGCGCAGGCGGUUUUGUAAGACAGAGGUGAAAUCCCCGGGCUCAACCUGGGAACUGCCUUUGUGACUGCAAGGCUAGAGUACGGCAGAGGGGGAUGGAAUUCCGCGUGUAGCAGUGAAAUGCGUAGAUAUGCGGAGGAACACCGAUGGCGAAGGCAAUCCCCUGGGCCUGUACUGACGCUCAUGCACGAAAGCGUGGGGAGCAAACAGG
rnacentral:rRNA from 1 species